rnacentral:lncRNA from 1 species
CAAACAUCUAUCGAUGCCUUUGCUGUUUUGAGGAGGUUUGCAGGGCCUGCCUUCCAUUCGUUUCAUUGCUGUGAAGCCCCAAGAAAAACUAACUACACCAAGUUGCACUCUAUAUGAAAAUUCCUGAUCUAGACUCUUCCUGAAAAUCCAACAGUUGAUGAAGAAGCACUAAAAGGUGGCACAUUGGACGUACAAACUACCAGCAGCCACAGUAGCUGGCAAGUCAGGAUUUUGACAAACAUGAAGCAGAAGGAAGAUCUAUUUCAAAACACGCAUCAGAGAGCUGUUAGGAAAAUGUUUGAAAUCAUCCCAUAUAACUGACCCUGUUGAACUCACUGGAUAAGCCUUCCCUGCUCUGUAACAGGCACGGUCCUUGUGCAGAAGUUGAUGAGUUUUCAUUGAGGACUGGAACAGCAAUGAGAAGAGGUGGCACCUGAACUGGAAUGNGCAUGCAAAAGUGUGACAAGGGACAAAUUUAACUGUUAGGUGCUAUAUUUUGUAAACACAUUUUUAGUAUCAGAGAAAUCUUCCAUCCCUGCAAAGCACCGCCAGGUC